rnacentral:rRNA from 1 species
UAGGGAAUAUUGCACAAUGGGGGAAACCCUGAUGCAGCGACGCCGCGUGAGCGAAGAAGUAUCUCGGUAUGUAAAGCUCUAUCAGCAGGGAAGAAGAUGACGGUACCUGACUAAGAAGCACCGGCUAAAUACGUGCCAGCAGCCGCGGUAAUACGUAUGGUGCAAGCGUUAUCCGGAUUUACUGGGUGUAAAGGGAGCGUAGACGGAGAAGCAAGUCUGGAGUGAAAACCCGGGGCUCAACCCCGGGACUGCUUUGGAAACUGUUUGUCUGGAGUGCCGGAGAGGUAAGCGGAAUUCCUAGUGUAGCGGUGAAAUGCGUAGAUAUUAGGAGGAACACCAGUGGCGAAGGCGGCUUACUGGACGGUAACUGACGUUGAGGCUCGAAAGCGUGGGGAGCAAACAGG